rnacentral:sRNA from 1 species
GCUGGGGACGGUGGCGCAUGCCUGUAAUCCUAGCUACCGGGAGGCUGAAGCAGGAGGACCCCAAGUUGGAAGCCAGCCU